rnacentral:lncRNA from 1 species
GAGACACUGUAGCAGACAGUGUCUCCAGGCAGGGUACUGAGCAAAGAGGAUAGUGAAAAGGGCAGUGAAACAUCGGCCUUUUUCACUGGCAACUUCAAGACUCACUGCCUACAAUACCACUUGGGGAUUGAAUUCAUGGUUUGAUCCAUUUCCAUCCAUCUGCUCAUGAGAGAAGAAAUUCGGUUUGGUGAAGGAUGUCUGGAAAAUGCGAAGACCACCAACUUGGGAAACUUUUAUCAUCACGAUACACUGUGUAUGUCUCUGAACAACAACAUGGUUUGAAUGAAGCAAAAUAGAGACUUAAAAUGUAACUAAAUGUACAAUUGUAUGAAUGUGUAAGUGCUAUGGAAGAAGAAGCCUUUAGAAGUUCUCAAUAUUUACUGCAGAAUUUCAAAAUAGUCUUGGAUUAAACACCUUUUGAGAAAAA